GCCCUGUUAGGAAAUUUUUAAUUUCUUGGGCUGGUGAAUGGCGAUAGCACUUCAUGUGUCCCUUCUCUCUGAUUACAUAUUGGAUCUUUCUAUUUAUUUUUGUUUGAUUAAUUGUUCUGUUAUUCAUGUAAUCAUCGACUGUAAUACAUUGCAUCAAACCUGCUAAACUAUUCUAAACAAUUAAAACUAUGGAUUGUCAAAGUUAGGUGAGAUUCUUGAUUGAGUAGAAAUGACUUCGAUCAUUUCUUACACGUUCUGCUCUUCGGUUAAAUGAAGAAAAGAAAAGAAUGGUUAAUCUAUGAAGAAAAGUUAUGUUAUCAACAUGUUUUGGUUUACUUUGAGAGCACAUAACUAAUUCAAUCAUUUCACUUUGUUUCAGAUAAUUAAGGUUUGAUUUUAGGUCAAAGCAAGAGAAGACACUAGUGAACUAUUGGUAUUCUCUGAAAGCAAUACAUCACUUUACAUGGGUGGACAUCAGUUGAUCAAAAGAGUCAUUACUCAAAUAACUUGAAUAUGUAAAAGCAUGUCAGUAACACUUAAACAGAUAAGAUCCUUUCCAUCCCCUCACUAAGAUCAUCUACAUUAAUUACUUCUAGUUCCUUCCUUUCUAUUGACUUGUCAAGUGGUGAUUCUCUAAUUGUACAGAUCUGUUGAUUUAAUUCAGCUAUCUAUUUGCGUAUUCUAUCUCCACGAUCUGGAAGUUUUGAAACCAGGGCCUGUAACCCAUUUUUUCCAGGGGUUAGCAACUAGUCAGAGAUCACAAACAUGUACGUGAGCAUGCACAAAAUAAAGACUUUGAGAAUUCUACCUUGUCUGCCAAAGUUUUAGAUAAACGUUUGAUUCUCUCCUCAAUGUUCUCAGGACUGUCUUUUGCUUCACUUGGUGAAGUCCUGGGAGUAUAUGUUCUAGAAGUGAACUUCUGAUCUUUUGGGUUGAGCGCAUAAGCUGCCCUGUUAAAACAUAAAAUGACCAUUGGUUACCACUCUUCUCUGGUAGAUUAAGCAUAAUAAGUUUCCAGUUCAUACCCAUUCCCUGCACAUUUGUGAUAAAUGAUGACCCUGAUGUUGAACUUCUAACAAUUCUGUUUCCCAUC
rnacentral:lncRNA from 1 species